AAAAUGCUUUAGGUAUAAAUUUUUUAUAUAAAAACAAACACUGACAAACUGGGACAAUCUGAAAUGUUUUCGGUACAUAAGAACCACCGUACGUGGGCCUACGUGAAAUGAGGUUGAGUGUGUGAAUCAGAUGAUGUGGAUAGGUGAAUUUGAAUCAUUUUGCUAUAUCAAUAUAUUGUAUGUGGCACUAUGUGCAUUUUAAUACAAAUAUGUGAAAUAUUUUGUGUCAGUGUGUGACAUUCAUAUAAUAUAAACACAAAUUACACUUCAUUUUAGGACGCAUCAAGUUUAAGUUAAUGGUGGUGCUGCAUUCAUAUAUGUUAUUUUAGUAGGU